AGAUUGAACGCUGGCGGCAUGCCUUACACAUGCAAGUCGAACGGCAGCGCGGGAGCAAUCCUGGCGGCGAGUGGCGAACGGGUGAGUAAUAUAUCGGAACGUGCCUAGUAGUGGGGGAUAGCCCGGCGAAAGCCGGAUUAAUACCGCAUACGACCUGAGGGUGAAAGCGGGGGAUCGCAAGACCUCGCGCUACUGGAGCGGCCGAUAUCAGAUUAGCUAGUUGGUGGGUAAAGGCCUACCAAGGCAACGAUCUGUAGUUGGUCUGAGAGGACGACCAGCCACACUGGGACUGAGACACGGCCCAGACUCCUACGGGAGCAGCAGUGGGGAAUAUUGCACAAUGGGCGAAAGCCUGAUGCAGCGACGCCGCGUGAGGGAUGACGGCCGUUCGGGUGUAA
rnacentral:rRNA from 1 species